GGCCAUGGCUCUGUGGUAGAACAUCUGCUUGGCAUACAGGGAGUCCCAGGUUCAAUCCCUGGCAUCUCCA
rnacentral:tRNA from 1 species